AGCGAACGCUGGCGGCAGGCCUAACACAUGCAAGUCGAACGAACUCUUCGGAGUUAGUGGCGGACGGGUGAGUAACACGUGGGAACGUGCCUUUUGGUUCGGUAUAACUCAGGGAAACUUGUGCUAAUACCGAAUGUGCCCUUCGGGGGUAAGAUCUAUCGCCAUUAGAGCGGCCCGCGUCUGAUUCGCUAGUUGGUGAGGUACCGGCUCACCAACGCGACGAUCAGUAGCUGGUCUGAGAGGAUGACCAGCCACACUGGGACUGAGACACGGCCCAGACUCCUACGGGAGGCAGCAGUGGGGAAUCUUGCGGAAUGGGCGAAAGCCUGACGCAGCCAUGCCGCGUGAAUGAUGAAGGUCUUAGGAUUGUAAAAUUCUUUCACCGGGGACGAUAAUGACGGUACCCGGAGAAGAAGCCCCGGCUAACUUCGUG
rnacentral:rRNA from 1 species